UGGGCAGCUCAGUUGGUAGAGCAUGAGACUCUUAAUCGCAAUGUCAUGGGUUCAAGACCCAAACUGGGCAAAA